rnacentral:rRNA from 1 species
UACGUAGGGUGCGAGCGUUAAUCGGAAUUACUGGGCGUAAAGUGUGCGCAGGCGGCCGCGCAAGUCGAGUGUGAAAUCCCCCGAGCUUAACUUGGGAAUUGCGCUCGAAACUACGUGGCUGGAGUGUGGCAGAGGAAGGUGGAAUUCCACGUGUAGCGGUGAAAUGCGUAGAGAUGUGGAGGAACACCGAUGGCGAAGGCAGCCCCCCCUGGGCUAACACGUGACGCUCAUGCACGAAAGCGUGGGGAGCAAACAGG